UACAGAGGUCCCGAGCGUUGUUCGGAUUCACUGGGCGUAAAGGGUGCGUAGGUGGUAAGGUAAGUCGGAUGUGAAAUCUCCGAGCUCAACUCGGAAAUGGCAUUGGAAACUACCUUGCUCGAGGGUUGGAGGGGGGACUGGAAUACUUGGUGUAGCAGUGAAAUGCGUAGAUAUCAAGUGGAACACCAGUGGCGAAGGCGAGUCCCUGGACAACUCCUGACACUGAGGCACGAAAGCUAGGGGAGCAAACAGG
rnacentral:rRNA from 1 species